rnacentral:misc_RNA from 1 species
AACAUCGCGCACCUGCGGGAACCUGCGGAAGGAUCAUUACAGAGUUGCAAAACUCCCUAAACCAUUGUGAGCGUUACCUAAACCGUUGCUUCGGCGGGCGGCCCGGGUCCUUCCCGGCGCCCAUCGGCCCUCGCGGGCGCCCGCCGGAGGUAAACCAAACUAUUGCAUUGUAUGGCCUCUCUGAGUCUUCUGUACUGAAUAAGUCAAAACUUUCAACAAUGGAUCUCAGAUCGGAAGAGC